rnacentral:tRNA from 1 species
AUUUAGAUAGCUUAGAUAGAGCGUUUCAUUGAAGCUGAAAAGGGGAGCUGUCUCUGGAUA